GACGAACGCUGGCGGCGUGCUUAACACAUGCAAGUCAAGGACAAUCCCGCCUUCGGGUGGGAGGAUACUGGCGAACGGGUGAGUAACGCGUAGAUAACCUGCCUCACAGAUCGGGAUAGCCCCGGGAAACCGGGAUUAAUACCGGAUACGAUCCCACAUCGCAAGCUGCGGGAUGAAAGCGGGCUUCGGCUCGCACUGAGAGAUGGGUCUGCGUCUGAUUAGCUUGUUGGUAGGGUAACGGCCUACCAAGGCGACGAUCAGUAGCUGGUCUGAGAGGAUGAUCAGCCACACUGGGACUGAGAUACGGCCCAGACUCCUACGGGAGGCAGCAGUGGGGAAUUUUGCGCAAUGGGCGAAAGCCUGACGCAGCAACGCCGCGUGACCGAUGAAGCUUCGAGGAGUGUAAAGGUCUGUCCCAGGGGAAGAAAGAUCCCGAUAUGAAUAAUAUCGGAAGAUGACGGUACCCUGGAAGAAAGCCCCGGCUAACUUCGUGCCAGCAGCCGCGGUAAUACGAGGGGGGCGAGCGUUGUCCGGAAUCAUUGGGUGUAAAGGGCUCGUAGGCGGAUCGAUCAGUCGGAACUUAAAUCCCACGGCUUAACCGUGGAGCUGGUUUCGAUACUGUCGGUCUUGAGUUCGGUAGGGGAAGGCGGAAUUCCUGGUGUAGCGGUGAAAUGCGUAGAUAUCAGGAGGAACACCGAAGGCGAAGGCAGCCUUCUGGGCCGAAACUGACGCUAAGGAGCGAAAGCGUGGGUAGCGAACAGGAUUAGAUACCCUGGUAGUCCACGCCGUAAACGAUGAGUACUUGAUGGUGGGGGAUUCGACCCCGUCACUGUCGGAGCUAACGCGUUAAGUACUCCACCUGGGGACUACGGCCGCAAGGCUGAAACUCAAAGGAAUUGACGGGGGCCC
rnacentral:rRNA from 1 species